rnacentral:rRNA from 1 species
UACAGAGGUGGCGAGCGUUGUUCGGAAUUACUGGGCGUAAAGGGCGCGUAGGCGGUCUUGUAAGUCUUGUGUGAAAUCCCUCGGCUUAACUGAGGAACUGCACGAGAUACUGCGAGACUUGAGUUCGGGAGAGGGAAGCGGAAUUCCGGGUGUAGCGGUGAAAUGCGUAGAUAUCCGGAGGAACACCGGUGGCGAAGGCGGCUUCCUGGACCGACACUGACGCUGAGGCGCGAAAGCUAGGGGAGCAAACGGG